CCAAUGAAGACUUUCUGCACAGAGGCAAUGUCAAGAGGAGCAGCACAGAGCACACCCAGGAUGUUCAGCCUGCAAGGUGGGAGACGUGGCUUGCACCACCUCAGCUAGGAAAGUCUUUUAUUUUCCAAGCGAACGCCCUAACAACUCAUCUACAUUACAAGUGAGAAAUCGCCAUCGCAACUUUCUUGUUGUUGUGCUCCACUGGCUACCUCUGAAACGCAAGUGGAAGGGAAGGUUUGGUGUGCCCAAGACUGCCUGAAGGCUCAAGACACACAGGGACCUAAGAUGAGACCCUGGGAGCUGCAGGCAUGUACCAAGGCACAACGCGAGGUGCCUAGGGAAAUAUUACCGGAACCGCUGACAUGUCUAUGGUGUUUCAGCAAAUACAGGGUGAACUAUCAGCUGAGUGGGGAUUCAUGUAAGAAUUUUCAUGAUGGGUCAAACCAAAUGCCCAUGUCAGCCCUCCCUCUGGCAACAAGCAGUAGAAAAAAGAGCUACCAGAUCAUAUGCUGAGACUUGGGAGCCCUUCUGGCUGCUUAAUAAUUCCCCCAGUUCUAAAAUACUUAUUUACUGCCAUACUUGGGAUAAGCUAUGUUUUGACAAUACCUAGUGCCUCACAUCUUGCAUGCAUUUAAGCCCCUCAAUCCCACCUUUCCUGUUAGAGCCAACCAAGCACAUAUUUUUAGAGAAGAGAUGGUGAUCAGGCCCAUUAAAAAUGCAAAGGCAUCCAGGAUAGCCCUGAGCAGGGCAGUUCUCUAGAAAUGUAAAUGUUUCAGGCCCAAAUCUUGCUUCUGAUCAUAUCUCGUACCUUCCCAAUAAAUAUUUCCACAACCAGAUUAGGGAGGAUGCCACUUUCUCCUCUUGAAACUGUUCCACUUUACAUCUAACAGCAUUUUCUGGACUAAAGGGAGGGACAACAGUAUUGUUAACACACUCUGCUAGGAAGCAGACCUGAAUAAAGUUGCUAUUUUAGUGAAUAUUUAAUAAAAAUAACUACUGUCUGGAGCAGGCUCUGAAAGUAAGGUCUCUACAUCCCAGAGCAGUGUGUUAACAAUCUUCUCACUUGGUGGAUAAUUAAAUAUUAUAUGAUACAAAGGAGUACACAUACAAAAAGCAAUGAAAGCACCCCUAUAUCUCAGGGAUAUUUGAUAUCUUGAUAUUUAGAGCUUUCACCCAGAAAACCUAAGAUUAAAAUCUUUGGUGUGAAUGGGCACUGCACCUGGCUCUCACUUCCUGGAUGCUCUAGCACCUAGGCAUUUGUGUAGCUCCUCGGUGCUGCUGCUGUGCGUGUUGUGAUUUAUUAGCUACCGUGCCUCCGGACAGCGCUCCAAGUUGGGAAUCCAGCGUGAAGAAAAGCGGCGCAGAGCCUGAUGCCUGCUCAGCAGAGGAGACCCCUCUCUCUUCCCAGCACACCGACGAGGUGCCGCAGGAGCGCUCUGUUCCCCAUGAUACCUGCUGUGGCUCCUGUACACAACCACCCGCCUCUUCCCAUCCACUCGCUAGAAAGCCGAGAGCCUGAACUCACAGCUUGAGUUGGUGCGUACAGGGAUUAACAACUAGCAACCCGCACCGAAGUUACAGGGAGCUGUCGAGGCGCCGCUGGAACCCAGCAAUGAAGUCCUGGCCUCGCUAGGCUGCUGGCACUGUUCCUAUCGAUGCCAGCCUGGCCACGGUGCCCUCCCUCCACCCACCUCCGCUCUGUGAUAACCAGCAUCUUUGAAGAUCAGUGAUGGAGUAACGCCACAACAGCGAUGACUCUGCAUCCCUUUUGAAACUAAGGGUAGUACCGGUUUGAAAAAGGAGAGCUUUAGCGUUGUGAGCACAGGCCUGAGAUGGGAGACUACAGUGGCAACACCAGCCCUCGGUCCAUGUACAACCUGGUGCCAUCUAAAGCCUCACCGUGCAGCUGAUCUCUGUGUCCCUGUUUGCAAAGAGGUCACUCCGCUCGCAAAGCAAGACAGGGAAGGUGAAUUGCACUGAAAGUGAAAAGCUGUUUUUCUAGAAGAGUAAAGCAGCAUUUCCUAAGCAGCUUUAUCUUCCCAACAGAAUUAUUCACACCUAUUUCCUCAUUACACUGGUGCCACACCGGCACGACUGCACUGCUUCCUGUUCCGCAAGUACGCUCAAGCCCUUUCUGUGUCCUCAGGUUGGCAAAAGUUGGGAAGAAGACAAACCCUACUAGAGAAGCAUACAAUCUAUGCAUUAUUUUAUAGUUUUAAAUUAGAACGUUCGUAGAAUAAAACAAAAAAUACUUAGAAAAAUAAAUCCAGAAUAACUUUAAAAAAAUCUUCUUCUUUUCACUGAUACAUUCUUAUUUUACAUAAAGUAAACACAAUGUUGCUGGCUGGAUUUGCUACUCUUCAGACUUUCUACUUGCUUAUCUACUUUUGUUGCAGCUUUGAUUUUAAGAAUUUUGGAACUAUGUUUUAAGAUCUUGAAAGAUACUGUGAUUAAAAACACUUACGCUGUUCCUUACCUUAUAUUUACAACAAUUUUGGAAUUUAAGUAUUUGAUUUAAAUGGUUAAUCAGGGUUUCCCUUACCUCGACACACUGUUCCCUUUGUGCGCACUGUGACAUUCCACACAGAGUUCAAAAGCUGCAGGAUGGCUUUUUUCUUUCCUUCAUGUUAAUUUGCAGAUCAUAUUUAAAAUUAGCUUGUUUCUUCCACUCUAGCCAUAACUCAGCAGCAUUAAUUUGCUUUGAUCUGACAUUUUGCAUAUAAGCUUCAUAAAAGCUAUUUAAAUAGGAAACAGUCAGGUAUUUUGUAGACCUUCUCUGACCUUCUCCUGUAUUCCUGUACUACCAAGAAUCUUUUUUGCACUUUUUUUGGUGGGAAAGGAGAAUCUCGACUUAGGAUGCAAGGAUAUAAACUUUUGCUAUAU